AAAUGUUAAUGCUCCAAAAUGAUCUACUUUGACUCCAUGUCUCUCAUCCAGGUUAUGCUGAUCCAAGUAGUGGGCUACCACAGCCUUGGGCAGCUCCACUCCUGUGGCUUUGCAGGGUACAGCCCCACUCCUGGAUGCUUCCAUGGGCCGGCAUCAAGUGUCUGCAGUGUUUCCAGGAAACCAAAGAGAAAAUAA
rnacentral:lncRNA from 1 species